rnacentral:rRNA from 1 species
ACUCCUACGGGAGGCAGCAGUAGGGAAUAUUGGGCAAUGGAGGCAACUCUGACCCAGCCAUGCCGCGUGCAGGAAGAAGGCCUUCUGGGUUGUAAACUGCUUUUGAUCGGGAACAAAAGGCCCUUGCGAGGGACAUUGAGUGUACCGAUAGAAUAAGCACCGGCUAACUCCGUGCCAGCAGCCGCGGUAAUACGGAGGGUGCAAGCGUUGUCCGGAUUUAUUGGGUUUAAAGGGUGCGUAGGCGGUCCUUUAAGUCAGUGGUGAAAGCCAACAGCUCAACUGUUGAACUGCCAUUGAUACUGGAGGACUUGAGUACAGACGAGGUAGGCGGAAUUGACGGUGUAGCGGUGAAAUGCAUAGAUAUCGUCAAGAACACCGAUUGCGAAGGCAGCUUACUAGACUGUAACUGACGCUGAGGCACGAAAGUGUGGGGAUCAAACAGGAUUAGAUACCCUGGUAGUCCACACUGUAAACGAUGAUCACUCGAUGUGUGCGAUAUACAGUACGCGUCCAAGCGAAAGCGAUAAGUGAUCCACCUGGGGAGUACGAUCGCAAGAUUGAAACUCAAAGGAAUUGACG